GACGAACGCUGGCGGCGUGCCUAAUACAUGCAAGUCGAACGCUUCUUUCCUCCCGAGUGCUUGCACUCAAUUGGAAAGAGGAGUGGCGGACGGGUGAGUAACACGUGGGUAACCUACCCAUCAGAGGGGGAGAACACUUGGAAACAGGUGCUAAUACCGCAUAACAGUUUAUGCCGCAUGGCAUAAGAGUGAAAGGCGCUUUCGGGUGUCGCUGAUGGAUGGACCCGCGGUGCAUUAGCUAGUUGGUGAGGUAACGGCUCACCAAGGCCACGAUGCAUAGCCGACCUGAGAGGGUGAUCGGCCACACUGGGACUGAGACACGGCCCAGACUCCUACGGGAGGCAGCAGUAGGGAAUCUUCGGCAAUGGACGAAAGUCUGACCGAGCAACGCCGCGUGAGUGAAGAAGGUUUUCGGAUCGUAAAACUCUGUUGUUAGAGAAGAACAAGGACGUUAGUAACUGAACGUCCCCUGACGGUAUCUAACCAGAAAGCCACGGCUAACUACGUG
rnacentral:rRNA from 1 species